CCUACGGGCGGCAGCAGUAGGGAAUCUUCCACAAUGGGCGAAAGCCUGAUGGAGCAACGCCGCGUGGGUGAAGAAGGUCUUCGGAUCGUAAAACCCUGUUGUUAGAGAAGAAAGUGCGGGAGAGUAUCUGUUCACGUUUCGACGGUAUCUACACAGCAAGCCACGGCUAACUACGUGCCAGCAGCCGCGGUAAUACGGAGGUGGCAAGCGUUAUCCGGAUUUAUUGGGCGUAAAGGGAACGCAGGCGGUCUGUUAAGUCAGAUGUGAAAGCCUUCGGCUUAACCGGGGUAGUGCAUUGGAUACUGGGAGACUUGAGUGCAGAAGAGGAGAGUGGAAUUCCAGGUGUAGCGGUGAAAUGCGUAGAGAUAUGGAAGAACACCAGUGGCGAAGGCGGCUCUCUGGUCGGUAACUGACGCUGAGGUUCGAAAGCGUGGGUAGCAAACAGGAUUAGAUACCCUUGUAGUC
rnacentral:rRNA from 1 species